CGCCAUCUUGCGUACGGAGGUCUUGUUGAUUACUUACCUCAAGAGUCUGAAGGCUGGGCAUUUGGUCCCUCCAUCUGCUUGCUUUGUGGUGGUGUUUGUCUCUUUCACGUUUACGGAGAUUUUUGUUUUGUUGGAGAAAAAAAUUUUUUUCGCGAGCUAAAGGUCCAUGCUGAGGUUCUAGAAGAUGCCUUAUGGUGAAAUUGAAGCUAAGUUCUUGGGACCUGGAAAAGAACUAACAAAUGAACCAUGCUAUAAAAAGUUGAAGUCAGCUGCAGAAGCCCACGUUUUCCCACGUCAUAGCAGUGCUGAUUAUCUUCAGAAGGAGAAAACCCAAACCACAGAUUUGCAGAAACCUAAUAGACUAAAUGUUGCUGAAUCCACUGGUUCACAAAUUUUACAAGAUGAUGAAAUAUAUAGUACAAGUAAGGCAUUUAUAGGACCUAUUUACAAACCCCCUGAGAAAAAAAAAUGUCAUGAAAGGAAUGAAACAGACACUCACAGUGGUGCAAAUGGUAAAAGAAGACAAGAGAAGAAACGGAAAUUUAACAGCAAAAAAUUAGAGAUUGACACUGAAUUAUCACAGUUUUACAAAGAAAUUGAAGAACUUGAAAAUGAAAAAGACAAUUUAGAAGUCAGUUGUAAGGAAUCUGAACCUUCUCAGGAACAACUUUUUCCUGAGAAAAAUUAUGAGAGCCACAGUAAUGAUGUCUUAAAAUCUGAUGACACAAGUAAAUAUCUUAAUAGUGUUCCUCAAUCACAUAGUGGUUACCAGCAGUACUUGGGCAAUGAGCCAGGCAAAUACGUCUAUGAUGGACAAGUAAUACCUACAUUUUGUGAUACUUCAUUUACUUCUUUCAGGCCUGAAUGGGAAUCAGUGCAUCCCUUCAUAGUACCCUGUGGUCCCCCUGUUCCCAGUUUUAACCAUCAUUUAAGUAUUCAAAGAUUCGGUGCUCCGCCAAAUCCAUCACCAAAUAUUUUCCAUGCUCAAGACGAAUAUCGGAUACAAAAUGGGUAUGAUAUAGAUAGUUGUGUUAACUGGAAUUGUUUGACUUUUGAUCAGAACAAUGAGUAUACUGACUAUAGUGAGAAUAGCAGUCGUGUUUAUCCUCCUAGAAAUGGUUGUAGUGUACAAGAUGGAUAUGUAAAUAAUGGUUUAUGUGAAAUCAGGGAAGGAAGUUGGAAAGAGCCUCGUAUGGAUGAGUUUAAUGGAAUGGACAGGUUUAUGAAUCAACAGUUUCAAGAAGAAAAGUUAAAUAAAUUACAGAAAUUACUUAUUCUUUUAAGAGGUCUUCCUGGUUCUGGGAAAACAACUUUGUCUCGAAUUCUGCUUGGUCAGAGUCGUGAUGGCAUUGUGUUCAGCACUGAUGACUAUUUUCACCAUCAAGAUGGGUACAAGUAUAAUGUUAAUCAGCUUAGUGAUGCCCAUGACUGGAAUCAGAACAGAGCAAAGCAAGCUAUUGAUCAGGGGAGAUCUCCAGUUAUAAUAGACAACACUAAUACACAAGCUUGGGAAAUGAAACCAUAUGUGGAAAUGGCCAUAGGAAAAGGAUACAGAGUAGAGUUUCAUGAACCUGAAACUUGGUGGAAAUUUGAUCCUGAAGAAUUAGAAAAGAGGAAUAAACAUGGUGUGUCUCGAAAGAAGAUUGCUCAGAUGUUGGAUCGUUAUGAAUAUCAAAUGUCCAUCUCUAUUGUAAUGAAUUCAGUGGAACCAACACAGAAAAGCACACAAAGACUCCCUCCUCCACAGGGAAACCAGAGAGAAACAGUUUGGAAGAGAACCGAGCAUAGACAAAAGCGAAACAGAAGAAGAAACAAAAAGCAUAAUAGUCUUAGUGAAAUCAUGCUUGAAAACUCAUUUGAUGCCUUAAGUUAUCUUGCACCAGGAGAUCAGGACCCAUAUCCAAGUGAAAAAGAAGAUUUUGAAAAGACCGAAAGAGAAUCAGUUUGUCCCUUAACUACUGGCUUACAGAAUGAAUGUGGGGAUUCUGUGAAUGGUUAUAAAGAAAAUAGUUGGAAUAACAUAGAUUCUGAAGAUAGCUAUCCAGAUGUUGCACCUACAGUUGAGUCGGACAGCUCAUCAAAGAAUUGUCUCCCUAUGGAAGAUGAUGACUUGUCAUCAGUACCAAAUGUUACUCGUCCAAUAGGGACUCAGAAUCUUCCCUGUGUAACAAGGAAUGACUGCUAUGGCAGGAAGGUAGAAAAACGUACUGGAAAUAGACAUAACUCAGCAUUAGAUACCCAUGACCUAUUUGCUGAAACUCCAUGUUCAUUUAGGAAGAAGAGAGAGAGAGUAGAUAAAAAUCUCUCAAACAAACCAGUCCCCUGCCAUCAAUGUAUAUCUAGACCUUCAGAUGUUUUAAGAGAGGAACAAGGAGAACACAAAACUAUGAAUAAUUGUUGGGCUUUUUUCACAGCCAAUGUGUCUGAUAAAGAAUUACAGUUAGGCCCUGACAGACAACCCUCUUUUGGUAGCUGGCCAGAGGGAACUCAUAAGUUUGUAUGUGAACAAAGGCAAAAGAAAAACAGAUCACGUAAACUGACCUGUCCUGACAGCAGAGAACAAAUGAUUAAAUUGAUUUCUACUGCUGAAGGAGCAUCAGGACCAGCAAGCAGUCCAGAAAUAGCAAUAGAGGAGAAACUACUGAUAGAAAAUGAAGAUUUGCUACCUUCAACUGAAACUACAGAUUCAUUCAUAGAAACAGAAACAAAUCUAUUCGGAAGCCCUUUACUUCUAGAUGUCCCAAAGAGUGCCUCAGAACCAACAAAGAAUAAGAUACAGAAAAGGAUUUUCAAUUUGGCACCAAACUGUAACUUACUGGAACAGAGUAAUAUCAAUGCAAAAGAAAGGGAGAAAUAUGGCUUAUUAUCAGAAAACUGUGAACCAAGCCUUAUUGUGGGAAAAGAAAAUGAUAAAAUUUCAGAAAUAAAUAACAAAGAGGAGAAAAAGCAAAAAGUUAUGGUCUUUAAUAAUCAACCAUUGUGUUUUUACCUUGAUAUCAAAGAUUCCCCACCAAAUUUUGGUGGACAGUUUUAUUCUCAUUAUAUGUCACUUAACAGACCAGGACACACUGUAUAUUUUUACAAAUAUCCUGUUCCUUCUCUUGUACUACAUUACAUAUCUAGCUUUUGGCUAGUACUUUCUACCAAUAAAAAAACAUUUUUGUCUUUCAAAUCUCAGACAAGAUUCAGCAAUAAACUAAAUAAUAUAGGGUUGUUUUCUUCAAAAAUUUUAAGUGAUCAAGCUCGUGCUUUGUGUUCUUUGAGAGUUACUUCUGAACCUCACUUUUUAAAUCAGCCAUUUGAUGGCAAGCUAAAGAGAUGGGAAGAAUCGAAGCUAUUACAAUGCUUACCUACUAAGGACAGACAAGAUUUAAUAAACAGUGAUUUUAAUUUCCUUGGGCUACCAUUAUCACAAGACUUUGCUUUUCAACUAAUAAAGGUUUUCGGAUCUCCUGGGGUUCCAACAGAAUCCUUGUCACCUGAUAACUGUGUGAUUCACCAUGACUGGAAAACAUUGAAGAUGCUGUAUUUGCAAUGGAAGAUGGCAGUAGAGAAAAAACAGAAGAUGAUACUGGCUAGAACUGAGAAUUCCUUGAACUGUUCUUACCAUUGACCUGUAAGAUCCACUUCCAGGAGCUCAUCCUAAGAAAAUAAUUGGACAAGUACGUGAAGAGAGGAAUGUUCAUCACAGAAUUUUUUUGUGUAAUAAAAACCAUGGGACAAUUUAAAUGUUCAGAAAGAAAGGAUUGGCUUAUAAGUCACGUAGUCAUUAUGGAAACAUAGAUGUAUAUUUGGUCUGUAAAUGUAUUGUUCCUUUAAAAAACUUAAAAAGACACACACAGGCACACACGUAUUUUCUGUCCUAAGAAGUCUAUGUAUAUGCAUACAAAAAUGUGUACAAAGAUCAGUGUUUUUUGGUAAUUGUUGACUUUAGCUAGUGGAUUAUAGACUUUUACCUCUAGGUUUAUUUUCCAAUUUCUUACAACAAAUACAAAUAAAUAGAUACAUGUAUAUAUACAAAUAUACAAUUUUCAAAUGUGAAAAUUAAGGCACUAUUGAGUAAAAGGCUUUGUUUAAUGGCUUACCUAGCUAGAUCUAGAGGUUUUAUGAGAUAGCCUUAUUAUGUAAGUAAAUAUGUCAUUUGCCAUAUUAAAAGGCUUUCCUAGAUUAAUUCUCAUUUGGACAUAAACUAGGAAGCUCUUUUACCCUCAAAGAUGGGUUUUUAGUGACUUACUAAAUUUUACCUGAUUUUAAUAAGCAUCUAUCACUUUAUUCCUCAGUACUUCAGAUAUAUUUUAGUAAAAUGGAGCUAAUAUUGCAUUUUAUUUUGAAGAUUUUAGAUACUGUGGUAAACACAGACCCUGCAGUUAGAUAUAUGGAUUAAUCACUGUGGAGUGUGUUAUUUAUGGUGCCAAAUGUUCAUUAUCGGUCAUUAAUCAACUGUAACACUGUUCACUGAGUACAUGUAAAACUGUGAACACUUACUCCAUAAGGCGUACACCAAAUAAAGUUAAGCGAAGUUGCCUACACAAGACUAACAAGUGGAAGUCAGUAACCAGUGCUCUGUUGGGGUAAGUAAAGUCCAGUAGCAUUCCACAUACUCACAGUGUUCAAGGCCAAGGGAACCAGUGAGUUACCUAGUUCAGGCUAGUUAGGCCCAGAGUGUCUCCUGCACUAGGAGCGGGUCCUUGAGCUGGCCUUGAAGGAGGGUAGGGCCAAUGGCAGCGUCAGGAAGGAGACAGAGAUGGGAAAGGGGGGUUCUCCUGGCCUUGGCCAGGACGCUUCAUAGCAGUCGGAGUACUAGACAGGUGAUCCUGGGUUAGGUCAUAGCAGUGAAAACUGACAGAAGACCCCACAGAAGGAAGACUUCCCGUAGCAAGAGCCUUUCACUCACCCUGUGACCCAGAGCCAUUCCCAUAGCUGAUGUAAUAAACUGGAUCUAUUGCUGUCGUUUGCUUUGGCUGCAGUGAGAGCAUCUGUAGUGAGCACCUGUGCUUUCUCUGUGUGUGGUCAGAUGUCUUCCUGUCUGUACAUUUUCACCUUUUUUAAGUAUUAAAAAGCAGUGGCAUUAAUUAUAUACAUGAUACUGUGCAGCCAUCCUGCUAUUUCAAGUUUUUUUUAUCACCUCCCAAAAGAAGCUCUGUGCCCAUUAAAUAAUAAGUCACUGUUCUGUGGGCGUGGUGGUGCACUCCUGUAAUCCCAACGCAGGAUGGUGGAUCACUGCAAGUUUGAGACCAGCCUGGGCUACAAAGUGAGCUCGAGGCCAGCCUGAACAGCGGAGCGAGACCCCGUCUCACAAAGAGACACACACACACACACACACACACACACACACACACACACACACACGCGCGCGCAGAAUCACUGUUCUUCCUCCCUCAUUACAAACUAAGCUACUUGCUGCCUCUGUGUGUUUUUGCCUUUUCUAAGAGCCUCAUGCAAGCAGAUUAGUUUUUGUCCUUUUUCAUUGGCUUUUUGUCCUUUUUCAUUUUGUUUUCAAAGGUCUGUACAUGUUGUAACAUGUGUCAGAACUUCAUUAUUUUAUGUCUGAAUAAAAUGCUACUAAAUGUUCUUUUGGAAUGGCAAUAAUAGUGUUGCUUUUGUUUCUUUUUUUAAAAAAUAACUUUAUUUGGAAAAUUAAAAAUCAUCAACCUCAUAUCAGUUCCUGGAAUUAUUUUGAGCCUUUACACCUCAAAGCCAAGUCUGGGAACUACGCUGUGGUACAUGGUGCAUGUUUGUCAUGUUCUAGCCCCUUUUGGCACCAUCAUAAACGAUGUGUAAUGUGGAUUCAGUCGGGCUGAAAGGGUGCUUGCUGAUGGCUUUUUUUCUCAUUCCUGUUUCUGGUUAACAGUUUUCCAUCAAGAGAAAUACCAUUUGGUGAUUCCUCAAUGCUAGCAUUUUCUAAGGCAGUAGAGGGGUACUUUUCUAAUAUGAGGCAAUAACACAGAGAUGGGGAGAAGUGUAUACAGCUGAGCAAGCAGUGGGAUCCAGGAAGCAGUCAGGACGGGAGACCAGGUCGGGUCACUAGUGGUGUCAGUCUGACUUCUGAGUACGCUAUGCUGACAGCCACCUGCACCUUGGUGUUGCUGUCCACGCAGCCACGUCCCACUCAGGUCAAAGUAGAAAGUCUGUGUAUAUCAAAUAGAGUAUCUGGCGGGGCUUAGCCCAGAUUUCUAGAUAUUUAGCUCUACUUAGAAAUUGAUCACUAGAGUUUUAAAUAUUUCAUGAUUUUCUUAAACAGUCCAAAGUCUCCUCUAAGGAGAAAACUUAAAAUGCCUCUCUCUGGAUGAGAAGAUGAUUGAGAGCUGGCAGCGCUGCACACAUUUCCUAAGAGUGGUAUGGUGUUGUGCCACGUGUCUGCAGUCACUAGACAGACUUGUCAGGAAGUGUUCGCUACACAGGAGACACCACCGUCCUGUUCCUGGAGCUUUUGGGACAAUGAAGGAAGACGCUGCUGACUUGUGGCCACGUUGUACCACACGUGUGAGCCACAAUUUGAGCGCAGGUAGAAGCGGAUGAGGGGCAUUUUUGUAGUAAAAGCUCAAGAGAUGUGUAAGAAGUUCCUUGAGUUCACCUAGUUCAGGCCCAAGACAUGAAACUUGAUCAAUUUCUUGAUCCUGCUUCUAAUCCAGAGCGUUUUCUUCUAUAUGAAAGAGGGUAGCAGGAGUGACCUGGUCAAAGUGUAAUGAGGUAGUUUUGAUCUGUUGUAAUGAAAACAACACUUAAAGACUCAGAGGGGAAAAAAGACUUGUGGGGCUAAAUUAACCUGGAUUUCACCUGUCAGGGUAAGGAAGCUACUUUUUAUUGUUAUUUAUCAAUACUAAUAAUAUGUUUGUCUCCUAAUUGAAAAACUAUAACCCAGGGAUGCUUUUUGUCUUGUUAAUAUGUUACAAUUGGGGGCAGUGGAGAACAAAAGAUUUAGAUUUUAAAUAAAUAUUCUGAUUAUGAUAUGUUGGAGAGAGUUAUCAAUUCCCAACUCCCAGGGAUCUAGAUCUGCUCACCUAAUAGACUAUUUAUUACUCAAAUUAACUUCUUCUUGGCAUUUCAGUAAAAUCUAUUUAAUGGCACCUUCCUAGAUUCAGAUACUAGACCAGCCCAAUAAGAAAUUAUUUUUUUAUCAUUGUAAGUGACCUAAAGACACCUGGCUCUGUGGGGUUGAGUACAUAGUGUGAUAAAGAAAAGCUAGCCUAAUUUCUAAUUGUUCCUUCAUAAGGCUGUCUGUCGGAUCAUGUGUGUGGCUUGGGGAGAAGGCUAUCUGUUUUUAUCAGGUAAGAAUCUGGGAAGGCGGAAGGGAAAAACAGAACCAAAAAGCCAACACACAGAAAAUACUGACCGUGUGCCUGGUGCUUUCUAGACACUGGGGUGUUCAAUCUUCACAAUAACUCUGUGAACACAGAGGUCAUUUUCCUUUAUAGAUGAGUACAUUAGCAUCAGGGGACCGCAUCUGACACCUCACUAGGGAUGUCUUGAACCAGUACACCUCCACCUCCUGCUCAGUUUCUAAGGAUUCUGUUGAACUGCCAUUGCACUGCUGGAUCUUUUGAGGUUCUUUCCCGUGUUUUAAGGAUGUGAUGAAGAACACAGUUUGGGAGAAGCUUUCUGUGCUGGCUAGCACCUCUUCAGCAGCCUUUGUCCUGUGUCCGUCUUGACUGUCUUUUCUACAUGUGGCACAUAGUAAGAUUCACUACAUAACUGAUGAACAGAUUUGCUAUUGAGAAGCUUCUGAGAGAUGGGAGCUAGACUUCAGCGUGGUUCUUGAGAAAAUCACAAGACAGAUUAUUCACAUAAAAAUGCAAAAGAAUGCUAUGUGGAGAAUAAAGGAGUUUCAAAAAAAAAAAAAGAAUAGUCACCAUAAAAUUAGAUGCACAGAAAACUUUUUUUUUUUAACAUUUGAGAAUGUUUGAUGUGCCAGUUGCUCUGAGUUAUACUAAAACAAUUUACAAAAUUAGGGUCAGGUGCACCCGCUGUCCUCAUUAAUCACUCAAAAGAGAGCCCAAGAUGGAUUAUUUUCUUGGAUGGCCAGUCUUCUGCUAUCUGUAACUGAUAUGAUGCUGGGAGACAAAAGCUAAAACAAAGUACCGAGGCAGGUGUGCCUGAUCCCUUUCUCAGCCCUGAGUGUUACUGCACUAAGCAACACACACAGGAGAAACCCGAACCAUUGCUACGUUCUGCAGAAGGGCGCUGCCUACAGGCAGGAAAGUGAGCACGAAGUGGGACCAUGUAGAUAAGUGACAGCAAGGUAACAACAGGGACUGUGCAUUUUCCAUCUCAUAAACAGGCCCCAGUGUGGAGGCCUGAGGGGUACAAGGCCAGACAGCAGAAGGACAGCUGGGAACUUGUGGAGUCACUCAGCCUUCGUGGCUUGGUGAUACAGGGCUGGCAGUGUGUGUAACAGGUAUCUCCAAGGGCAGGGCUCAGCCGUGGCAAGGUGGAUGGCAGCUUGUGAAGGCCAGGAAACGUGAGGGGGGGGGGGAGACUGUCCCAUGGUGUACAGCCAGGCUCCUGCCCCGUUCUCAGGCUGCUGGGUCUCCUGCUUCCAUUUUAAAGUACUCUGGAAGGAUUCUAGUAGCACCCACAGGAAGUACUAGGAUCUAAGCUCUUUACGCUCAGUCUCCUCUAAGGGAUAAACCUGAGGUUUGGGUAAAAUUCUCAUUAUCCAUAGAUGAAAAAUUUUCCUCACAUGGUUUAGGACCCUGUAGAAAGAGUUCACAUAAUUAGUCAAGAAAGCAUUAUAGGAGCUGGGGAUUUAGCUCAGUGGCAUAAGCACCUGCCUUGCAAGCAGGCAGUUGUGAGUUCGAUCCCUGGUACCGAUAAAAAGAGAAAAAGAAAAAAAGCAUUUAUAGUCAUGAACCAUUCAUAUAUUCACCAAAUUUAUUAUCUCCCACGUGCCUGGCAUUUUUUUCUGGAUGCUUCAAAUAGAGCAGCAGACAAAAGACAAAAAUCCCUGCCUUCAUGGAACAUAGGGGUUUUUUCUAAAAUAUUUUCUGAAGGAAAAUUGAGAUAGCAUGUGCUUUGGUCUAUUGUCUCAAAACAAAUGACUCCUACAGCUACUCCACUUGAGGUGCACGCCACAAGAGUCAUCCAUGGGUGCCCAUAAGACAGGUACAGUGAAGCUCAUGCAACUGCAUGCAUCAGAGGGAAAGCUGCAAACCUGAAGAUCACCAGAAAAAGGCAUCAGUAAACAGGUUUAUAACUUCAUAGUGCUCAAGCAUAAUGGUUUCCUGUGGAGCUCCAGGAUCGGAAACCUGGCUUUUAAUCCAGCUGCACCACUCAUUGGUCGGCAACAUGGGGUUAAUAACAGUAUUUAUCUCCCAGGAUUAUUUGAGCCUUCCAUUAGAAAUGUGAAGCUAUUAGAAUAGUGCAUAGCACAAAAUAACUUAAUAUUAGAUAUGUUUAUAUUGCUGAUAAUGGAGUACUACGUAGCAGUUAAAAGUAAUGGACUGUAUGUAUCAGCAUGAAUAAAUCUAAAAUAUAUAAUGCUCCAUUUUUUUCAUUCCAUAAAUAUUUAUUGAGUGUCUACUAUGUUCCAGGUAGUGUUCUAGGUACUUGGGAAUCACCAGUGAACAAAACACAGAUCCUGCCCAUGUGGACCUUGUAUACCAGAGACAGCUGCAGCGUGACUUUCCCAUGGCUGCGAUUUUCAGCACGGAUGACUUUUUCAGCAGGGAAGAUGGUGCCUAUGAGUUCAAUCCUGACUUCUUGGAGGAAGCUCAUGAAUGGAACCAGAAAAGAG